UACGUAGGGGGCAAGCGUUGUCCGGAAUCAUUGGGCGUAAAGCGCGUGUAGGCGGCCCGGUAAGUCCGCUGUGAAAGUCCAAGGCUCAACCUUGGAAUGCCGGUGGAUACUGUCGGGCUCGAGUCCGGAAGAGGCGAGUGGAAUUCCUGGUGUAGCGGUGAAAUGCGCAGAUAUCAGGAGGAACACCAAUGGCGAAGGCAGCUCGCUGGGACGUGACUGACGCUGAGACGCGAAAGCGUGGGGAGCAAACAGG
rnacentral:rRNA from 1 species